GGUAAAAAGAAGAUUGCCAAAAACUCCAAGAUCAAGUUCUUUAUGAACGUUUAUAACUGUAACCACCUCAUGCCUACAGGUGCUCUGGAUAGCCUCUCAGAGGGAACGGUUGUCAAGAAGGAUGUCUUUAGAGACUCAGCUCUGAAACGCAAGGCUGGGGAGGCCAAGGUCAGUUGGAAGAACAAUACAAGACAGGAGAGAACAAAUGGUUUUUCCACAAGCUAUGCUUUUAG
rnacentral:lncRNA from 1 species